AUUGAACGCUGGCGGCAGGCCUAACACAUGCAAGUCGAACGAGUGGCGGACGGGUGAGUAAUGUCUGUGACACUGCCCGCUGGUGGGGGAUAACUACUGGAAACGGUAGCUAAUACCGCCUACCCUCGGAUGUGCCCAGAUGGGCUUCGCUAGUAGGUGGGGUAACGGCUCACCUAGGCGACGAUCCCUAGCUGGUCUGAGAGGAUGACCAGCCACACGGGAACUGAGACACGGUCCAGACUCCUACGGGAGGCAGCAGUGGGGAAUAUUGCACAAGGGGCGCAAGCCUGAGACAGCCAUGCCGCGUGUAUGAAGAAGGCCUUCGGGUUGUAAAGUACUUUCAGCGAGGAGGCGUUACUCGCAGAAGAAGCACCGGCUAACUCCGUGCCAGCAGCCGCGGUAAUUC
rnacentral:rRNA from 1 species